UAUUAAAAAAAUAAAAUAAAAAAAUAAAGUUUAUUAUUUUGAGCAAGUGCUAAAAUUUCUCAAAAAUCUCAACAAAGAGUUAAAAUAAAAGCACUUCAAAUACCCAAGGGGUGUCUAAUAUAAAAAAAAAUGGCUGAUGGGGUAAAUUGGAGUGGCCGAGCUCAAAGAUAGGGCAUAGGUACAGACUUUCCAAAAUGGACAAAAAAAGCGCACUUCCCAAAUGUGGCAUUUUAAAUCUCAAACAACACGACAAAUCCAUGCAUGUCGGGUAUCACUGCACUCAGGAGAUGUUCCUGAACACACAUUGGGGUGUUGUUUGACAGUGGCAUAUACCAGGACCUGUAUAUCUAUAACUAAAGUACAAUUUGUGUGAAAACAAAAUAAAAAAAAAUUACUAUUACAAAGUUUGACAAAGUGUAGUUGUAUAAUUGGUGCAUGGAAAGGGUUAAAAUAACAGCAUUUGGAAUACCCUGAGGUGUCUAGUUUUCAAAAAUAUAUGGUUUAAAUGGGUUAAAUUGAGUUAACCGGCUUCAAAGAUAUUCCAAAGAGGAGAUGGAGGCAGAAUGACCAAAUGACCACCUGAAUUACGCAUGCCCCAAAAGUAGCCUUUUACCAGCCAAACAAUCUGACAAACCCAUGCAUGUGGGGUAUCGCUGUACUCAGGAGAUGUUCCUGAACACACAUUGGGGUGUUGUUUGACAGUGACAUAUACCAGGACCUGUAUAUCUAUAACUAAAGUACAAUUUGUGUGGAAAAAAAAUAAAAAAAAUUACUAUUACAAAGUUUGACAAAGUGUAGUUCUAUAAUUGGUGCAUGGAAAGGGUUAAAAUAACAGCAUUUGGAAUACCCUGGGGUGUCUAGUUUUCAAAAAUAUAUGGUUUGAAUGGGUUAAAUUGAGUUAACCGGCUUCAAAGAUGAGAUGGAGGCAGAAUGACCAGAUUUGGAAAAAAGGUUUGGAAA